AUUGAACGCUGGCGGCAGGCCUAACACAUGCAAGUCGAGCGACCGGCGGACGGGUAAGUCAUAUGUGGCAAACUGCCUGAUGGAGGGGAAUAACUACUGGAAACGGUAGCUACUACCGCAUACCAUCAGAUCUUCCCCGAUGUGAUUAGCUAGUGGGUUGGGUAACGGCUCACCUAGGCGACGAUCCCUAGCUGGUCUGAGAGGAUAACCAGCCACACUGGAACUGAGAAACGGUCCAGACUCCUACGGGAGGCAGCAGUGGGGAAUAUUGCACAAUGGGCGAAAGCCUGAUGCAGCCAUGCCGCGUGUGUGAAGAAGGCCGUCGGAUUGUAAAGCACUUUAAGCGGGGAGGCGUUACCCGCAGAAGAAGCACCGGCUAACUCCGUGCCAGCAGCCGCGGUAAUAC
rnacentral:rRNA from 1 species